GCUACUUACUGCUCCUAAAUAGAGUAGAGUGGAGUGGAUGCUGAAGGGAUACUGAUAUGCAUGGGAAAUGAAAAGAACCGGUAUUGAGACCAGGGUGAAGGGACUAGAGACGGAAGGGCAGGUAAGGGACUGGAUGCAAGUUUAAUGUAAGGGUAAUGUAAGGAGGUGAGGUAAGAGGAAUGAAAAGGAGGGGUGAAGUUGGAGUGGGAAAUGAGAGGAAACAAGAAUUAGAGGUUACUGAAGUGGAUGGGAGGUGAAGACUGGUGUAUAGUACUGAAUAGAGGGAGAGUUCGUAUGAAAGAAGACACUGAAAUGAAAAGAAAGGGGAUGCAGAGGAAUGAAAAGAAGGGGUGAAGUUGGAGUGGGAAAUGAGAUAAAACAAGAAUUAAAGGUUACUGAUGUGGAUGGGAGUUGAAAAAAGAAUGGCAUAUAUUACUAAAUAGAGGGAGAGUUCGUAUGAAAAAACACACUGAAAUGAAAAGAGAGGGGCUGAAGUAAGCGGUGGCUGAGUGGUUAGCGUGCGGUCCUAGCAUUCACGGCGCCAUGGACAGCGUCGGUUCGAAUCCCCACGCUACCACCUGGGAUUUUUCAGUCACCGCCGAGUGGCCUAAGACUACCCACAUGCUGUCCAGAAAACCUCCCAUCAACCCGGACUCUAGAAGAAACCGUCCAAGUGAAUCAAGAGAUGUAAAAAAAAAAAAAAAAAAAAAAAAAAGUGGGAAGAGAAGUGAAACAGUAACUAGAGGAAACUGAUAUGGAUGGAAAAAUCGAAAAGAGCUGAUACUGAGACAAUUGGGAGUGGACCGGAAACGAAAGGGCAGGUGAGAAAGUGAGUGUAUAGGUAAUGUAAGAAAAUGAGGUAGAUGAGUAGAAUUAAAAGGAGGGGUGCAGUAUCAGUGGGAGAAAGUGGAAGCAGGAAUUAGUGGUUACUGAUAUGGAUGGGUAUUGAAAAGGACCGGGAUCGAAAGGGCAGGUGAGGGAGUGAAUGAAUAGAUAAUGUUAGAAAAUGAGAUAUAGAUGAGUUGAAUGAAAAGGAGGGAUGUAGUGUUAGUGGGAGAAAGGGGAAGCAGGAAUUAGUGGUUACUGAUAUGGAUGGGUAUUGAAAAGGACCGGGAUCGAAAGGGCAGGUGAGGGAGUGAAUGAAUAGGUAAUGUUAGAAAAUGAGAUAUAGAUGAAUUGAAUGAAAAGGAGGGAUGUAGUAUCAGUGGGAGAAAGUGGAAGCAGGAAUUAGAGGUUAGUGAUAUGGAUGGGUAUUGAAAAGGACCGGUUAUAGUACUGAGGCAAAGGUGAAUGGACUGGAUCAUCAUACCUGGGAACGGAAGGGCAUGCAGGUAAGGGAGGGAGGGGGGAGGGAGGAGACAGGUAAGAACACGAUGGUUGAGAAAGUGAGAGGGAGAGAGAAGAAAAAAAAAAGAUUAAUAAAUGUCAGAGAGAGAAAGAGAGGGAGAGAGAGGGAUGCUGGUGCAGGUAUAAAGAAGAUGUGAUAUUGCAGAGGAGACAGAGAUGGAGAUGCUGGUAAGGUAGGGAGAGGUGAGGAUAUGAUGUGAUAGGGGUGAUAUGGAUGCUAGGUGAGGCAGGUAAGGUAUGUGUCAUUAAAUAAAAGUGAAAGUUCAGGUAGAUAGGAAGGAUAUAAUGGUAUAGAUCUGAAAGGAAUGUUAGGAGAGGUGAGAGGAAGUAGAUGUGAUUGUAUAGGGAUGGAAGGGAUGCUAGAGUAAGUAAGGUAAGGGAGAUGGGAUGCUGCAGUGAUAUGAUACUCGAGAUUUGAAAGGAAUAUUGGAAUAGGUAAGAAUAAGGAGAUGUGAUUUUAUAGGGAUGAAAUUGAUGCUUGA